GACGAACGCUGGCGGCGUGCUUAACACACGCAAGUCGAACGGAAAGGCCCUGCUUUUGUGGGGUGCUCGAGUGGCGAACGGGUGAGUAACACGUGAGUAACCUGCCCUUGACUUUGGGAUAACUUCAGGAAACUGGGGCUAAUACCGGAUAGGAGCUCCUGCUGCAUGGUGGGGGUUGGAAAGUUUCGGCGGUUGGGGAUGGACUCGCGGCUUAUCAGCUUGUUGGUGGGGUAGUGGCUUACCAAGGCUUUGACGGGUAGCCGGCCUGAGAGGGUGACCGGCCAAAUGGGGACGGAGAUACGGCCCAGACUCCUAGGGGAGGAAGCAGGGGGGAAUAUUGAAAAAGGGGGGGAAGCCGGAGGCAGCAACGCCGGGGGGGGGAGGACGGCCUUCGGGGUGUAAACCGCUUUCGCCUGGGACGAAGGGUGGGUGACGGAAAUGGGGAAAGAAGCACCGGAUAACUAAGU
rnacentral:rRNA from 1 species